rnacentral:rRNA from 1 species
CACCUGUUUAACAAAAACAUGUCCUGUUGAUUAUAAUUUUAGGUCGAUCUGCUCAAUGAAUUAUUUUAAAUAGCUGCAGUAUGUUGACUGUACAAAGGUAGCAUAAUAAAUUGUCUUUUAAUUGAAGAAUUGUAUGAAAGAAUUAAUGAAAUAAUAACUGUCUCUAAAUUAUUAAAUGAAUUUAAAUUUUUAGUUAAAAUUCUGAAAUUUAAUUAUGGGACGAUAAGACCCUAUAGAAUUUAAUUUAAUUUUUAAAUUUAUUUAUAAUUUUAAUAAAUAUAUUUAAGAUUAAAUUUGAUUGGGAGGAUUGGUAAAUUUAAUAAACUUUAUCUAAGAUUUAAUUUUGAUAUAAAGAUAAUUUUUUGAAUUAUAAAUUGUAAUUAAAAGAAUAAAUUACCUUAGGGAUAACAGCGUAAUAUCUUUUGAUAGAUCAUAUAGAUAAAGAUGUUUGCGACCUCGAUGUUGAAUUAAGAUGAAAGUUAGGCGCAGUAGUUUAAGUUUUUAAGUCUGUUCGAUCAUUAAAAUCUU